rnacentral:rRNA from 1 species
AUGAACGCUGGCGGCGUGCCUAAUACAUGCAAGUCGAGCGAACGGACGAGAAGCUUGCUUCUCUGAUGUUAGCGGCGGACGGGUGAGUAACACGUGGAUAACCUACCUAUAAGACUGGGAUAACUUCGGGAAACCGGAGCUAAUACCGGAUGAUACUUUGAACCGCAUGGUUCAAAAGUGAAAGACGGUCUUGCUGUCACUUAUAGAUGGAUCCGCGCUGCAUUAGCUAGUUGGUAAGGUAACGGCUUACCAAGGCAACGAUGUAUAGCCGACCUGAGAGGGUGAUCGGCCACACUGGAACUGAGACACGGUCCAGACUCCUACGGGAGGCAGCAGUAGGGAAUCUUCCGCAAUGGGCGAAAGCCUGACGGAGCAACGCCGCGUGAGUGAUGAAGGUCUUCGGAUCGUAAAACUCUGUUAUUAGGGAAGAACAUAUGUGUAAGUAACUGUGCACAUCUUGACGGUACCUAAUCAGAAAGCCACGGCUAACUACGUG